rnacentral:rRNA from 1 species
UUGUAAUUGGAAUGAUGGUGACCCAAACCCUCACCAGAGUAGCAAUUGGAGGGCAAGUCUGGUGCCAGCAGCCGCGGUAAUUCCAGCUCCAAUAGCGUAUAUUAAACUUGUUGCAGUUAAAAAGCUCGUAGUUGUAUUUUUGCGUUGACGGUUUGACCAUUUGGUUGGUUAUUUCGUUUUCGCUUUUGGGAAUUUCCCUUUUUACUUUGAGAAAAUUAGAGUGUUUCAAGCAGACUUUUGUCUUGAAUACUUCAGCAUGGAAUAAUAGAGUAGGACUUUGGUUCUAUUUUGUUGGUUAUUGAACCUUAGUAAUGGUUAAUAGGAACGGUUGGGGGCAUUCGUAUUUAACUGUCAGAGGUGAAAUUCUUAGAUUUGUUAAAGACGAACUACUGCGAAAGCAUUUGCCAAGGACGUUUCCAUUAAUCAAGAACGAAAGUUAGGGGAUCGAAGACGAUCAGAUACCGUCGUAGUCCUAACCAUAAACUAUGCCGACUAGUGAUUGGAGGUCGUC